AAUCAACGCUGGCGGCGUGCCUCAGACAUGCAAGUCGAACGAUUAAAGCUCUCUUCGGAGAGUGUAUAGAGUGGCGCACGGGUGAGUAACACGUAAGUAAUCUACCUUCGAGUGGGGAAUAACGUCCGGAACGGACGCUAAUACCGCAUAAUGCAGCGGCAUCGCAAGAUGACAGUUGUUAAAGAUUUAUCGCUUGAAGAGGAGCUUGCGGCAGAUUAGCUAGUUGGUAAGGUAACGGCUUACCAAGGCUACGAUCUGUAUCCGGUCUAAGAGGACGGUCGGACACACUGACACUGAAUAACGGGUCAGACUCCUACGGGAGGCAGCAGUCGGGAAUUUUGGGCAAUGGGCGAAAGCCUGACCCAGCAACGCCGCGUGAAGGAUGAAGUAUUUCGGUAUGUAAACUUCGAAAGAAUAGGAAGAAUUAAUGACGGUACUAUUUAUAAGGUCCGGCUAACUACGUGCCA
rnacentral:rRNA from 1 species